rnacentral:rRNA from 1 species
AUUGAACGCUGGCGGCAGGCCUAACACAUGCAAGUCGAGCGGAUGAAGGGAGCUUGCUCCUGGAUUCAGCGGCGGACGGGUGAGUAAUGCCUAGGAAUCUGCCUGGUAGUGGGGGAUAACGUCCGGAAACGGGCGCUAAUACCGCAUACGUCCUGAGGGAGAAAGUGGGGGAUCUUCGGACCUCACGCUAUCAGAUGAGCCUAGGUCGGAUUAGCUAGUUGGUGGGGUAAAGGCCUACCAAGGCGACGAUCCGUAACUGGUCUAGAGGAUGAUCAGUCACACUGGAACUGAGACACGGUCCAGACUCCUACGGGAGGCAGCAGUGGGGAAUAUUGGACAAUGGGCGAAAGCCUGAUCCAGCCAUGCCGCGUGUGUGAAGAAGGUCUUCGGACUGUAAAGCACUUUAAGUUGGGAGGAAGGGCAGUAAGUUAAUACCUUGCUGUUUUGACGUUACCAACAGAAUAAGCACCGGCUAACUUCGUG